rnacentral:rRNA from 1 species
AUUGAACGCUGGCGGCAUGCCUUACACAUGCAAGUCGAACGGUAACGCGGGGCAACCUGGCGACGAGUGGCGAACGGGUGAGUAAUGCAUCGGAACGUGUCCAGUAGUGGGGGAUAGCCCGGCGAAAGCCGGAUUAAUACCGCAUACGACCUACGGGUGAAAGGGGGGGAUCGCAAGACCUCUCGCUAUUGGAGCGGCCGAUGUCAGAUUAGGUAGUUGGUGGGGUAAAGGCCUACCAAGCCUACGAUCUGUAGCUGGUCUGAGAGGACGACCAGCCACACUGGGACUGAGACACGGCCCAGACUCCUACGGGAGGCAGCAGUGGGGAAUUUUGGACAAUGGGCGCAAGCCUGAUUCAGCCAUGCCGCGUGCGGGAAGAAGGCCUUCGGGUUGUAAACCGCUUUUGUCAGGGAAGAAACGCUCUGGACUAAUACUCUGGGGUAAUGACGGUACCUGAAGAAUAAGCACCGGCUAACUACGUGCCAGCCGCCGCAGUAA